UCAAUGUAUUCAAGAAUGAUUGUUGAUUCAACUAUUGGUUUUUCAUUAUGUACAAGAAUUGGGAUCAUCUUAUAGAUAGGGUUAUAUGUCAAAAGAUGUUGGCUUUUGUUAGAAAGAUCUUCUUCUAUGUAUUCAUAACUAAUAUUUUUGUGUUUCAAAGCCCAAAUGAUCCUAUGACUAAAGGGACUUGGAAAAGCUCCAAACAAUUUCACUUGCUCUUCCAUUUUUUUUUCCUCCCUAAUAAGUUGUG
rnacentral:misc_RNA from 1 species